CUGCAAAAGAUGUCCAAGAAGCCUAGCAACAUUUGUUCAGAGACUGUUGAAUGACUAUGCACUCUACUUUCAAAGUUUUUACUGAAAUGUCUUCAAGGUGGAAAUUGUUUUACGGUUCUAUGGCAUGUUACCUUUUUUUUGCCCCCUUGAAAUGACCUUAUCUCAUUUGAGAAAACUAUCUGCUAGAUCAGCAAAAGGAGAAUCGGUCAAUUAAAGUUUUUGUCUUUAUUCUUCAUAAGAAAUUCUUGGAGAAUAAGAUGAAGAAUGAAUAGUUGAGAUAAAUGAUUCAUGAGGUACAGAUGUCCUUUGCAUUAUUCCUUUUGGGAAAAAGACUAAUGAAGACUUGGACCAAAGCCAAAUACUUGAGUCCAGACAAGAACCUUGAAUCCAGCCUGAAGAGGUACACACAGUUAAGGUGGCAAUGAAGAACCACAGUGCUUUUGAACUCCAGAAGCAUAUGAGGUAUGAUUGAAAAACAUGGUGAAUGUAUAAAUUUCUAA
rnacentral:lncRNA from 1 species